rnacentral:rRNA from 1 species
CCUACGGGUGGCUGCAGUGGGGAAUAUUGCACAAUGGGCGCAAGCCUGAUGCAGCCAUGCCGCGUGUGUGAAGAAGGCCUUCGGGUUGUAAAGCACUUUCAGCGGGGAGGAAGGCGGUGAGGUUAAUAACCUUAUCGAUUGACGUUACCCGCAGAAGAAGCACCGGCUAACUCCGUGCCAGCAGCCGCGGUAAUACGGAGGGUGCAAGCGUUAAUCGGAAUUACUGGGCGUAAAGCGCACGCAGGCGGUCUGUCAAGUCGGAUGUGAAAUCCCCGGGCUCAACCUGGGAACUGCAUUCGAAACUGGCAGGCUAGAGUCUUGGAGAGGGGGGUAGAAUUCCAGGUGUAGCGGUGAAAUGCGUAGAGAUCUGGAGGAAUACCGGUGGCGAAGGCGGCCCCCUGGACAAAGACUGACGCUCAGGUGCGAAAGCGUGGGGAGCAAACAGGAUUAGAUACCCUUGUAGUC